GGUUCAUUCAAAUUUCUGCCCUAUCAACUUUCGACGGCUGGGUCUUGGCCAGCCGUGGUGACAACGGGUAACGGAGGGUUAGGGCUCGACCCCGGAGAAGGAGCCUGAGAAACGGCUACUACAUCCAAGGAAGGCAGCAGGCGCGCAAAUUACCCAAUCCCGACCGGGGAGGUAGUGACAAUAAAUACUGAUACAGGGGCUCUUCGGGUCUUGUAAUUGGCAUGAGUACAAUUUAAAUCCCUUAACGAGGAACAAUUGGAGGGCAAGUCUGGUGCCAGCAGCCGCGGUAAUUCCAGCUCCAAUAGCGUCAAUUAAAGUUGUUAGCGUUAAACAGCUCGUAGUUG
rnacentral:rRNA from 1 species